rnacentral:lncRNA from 1 species
UGUAACACCCCGAAAAUGUAAACACUUUAUAUUAGAAUUAUAAAGUGUAAAAUAAACGAGAAUAAGCUAACUAGGAUAAAUAACCCGGUUAGUUAGGAGUUUUGCAAUAACACAUGAAUGAGAUAAAAAGCCUAAAUUAUAAACCAAAUGAAAGUUGAGGGGCUUAUGUUGUUAAAGAAUGAAACUUAAUUACAUAAAACAAAAAAACCAAACUCACUUUUGUGAGGUCUGGUUCGAUCAGAAGCAGGGAAGGGCGACCCCCAUUUCUCCAAAACCCUAACAUUCACAAAAGCCACAAAUUGAAGGCUCAAAUCAUGACCAAAUCGAUUUUCAAGCAUAAAUUAAUGAUCACCUAGUUGAGGAGAUCAUAAGGCAAGGAAUCCGGAACGUCAAGUGGACACGCCAGAGGUGAUGCUCGUGGAAAAGGUGUGCUUUAAAGGUAUGGAUGAGGACCUCUCGGAUGAUGAUCAAGUACAUUGUAAAGAACCGAACACGUAUUUUGAAGCUUCCGCACUAAACUAAAUCUUGUCUAGACUUUAAUCAUGUUGUAAAUGUUUUGUUAAUCGUGUUUUGAAUCCUUCAAACUAGUUGUUAGUUGACUAGUAAGGAUUAACUUUAAACUUGUUAUGCAUUAACUUAUGUUUGUUUUGGGUACUACAACAAGUAGGUUUGGUCUUUAAACACGAAAGUUUUUGUAAACUCUGAUUAGUAUUUAUUUAAUAUAAAUACUUAGUUAAAUUCCGUCUAAAUAUUAAGGGUGUUACACUACGGGCCUGAAUUCGAGCUUUAGAAACAAAGCUUGAAGGGGGCUCGGCUCAUUUGUGUUACUACUGAAUACAAGCGCUAGGUUACUUCCCAAUUAUAUUAGAAUAAAACCUAAACUCUAAUUUUAACUGUAUGUUUAACUAACCUACUUGCAAAAUCUGAUGAUGGUUCUACAUAUGUGGUUUACAAUAGUUGGGGUAGGGUUGGCAUAAAGGGUCAAGAUAAGUUGUUUGGUCUCUAUACCUGUAAAAGAUCCUCUCCAACCCCUAUGCUAACCUAUAACUUUGGCCAUAAAACGAAUCCCUGUUGAAGGGGCUUAUCCAUUUCCUAUAUUACAGAUUUUUUUUUUUGGUAUAGAGCAUAAAAUACUAAUAUGUUGUUGAUCUACAGAUGAAGUUGAAAGCCUCACUACAACAUAAAAAGCUGCUAUAUCCGGUUCAGAACCUUUAGGAGAACUUUUAGGACCGGUGAAAGUAACCUCAUUAAUGUCAAUAUUAAGAUAAAUCGGUUUAAAGUGGCAUUGCUCUGUUUAUAGAAAAGCGAUGAUGAUCUCAGGUGCAUUUGUUCAUCAUGUAGACGUAUUUGGAGUCAAUAUAACUUUUUUCGUGUGUAUUCGUGAUUGUUGUUAAUAAAUAAUGCCUCAUUUUUUAUUGUUACUACGUAAGCACCUCUACAUGGCCAGGAUAACCCAUUUACCUGGUUUUUCUAAUGCCGUCUAUAUAGAGGU